rnacentral:rRNA from 1 species
GAGUAACACGUAAGAACCUGCCCUCUACUCAGGGAUAACUGGUCGAAAGAUCAGCUAAUACCGGAUGGUCCCGAAAGGGUAAAGAUUUAUCGGUAGAGGAGGGGCUUGCGGCCUAUCAGUUUGUUGGUGAGGUAAAAGCUCACCAAGACUAUGACGGGUAGCUGGUGUGAGAGCAUGACCAGCCGCGAUGGAACUGAGACACGGUCCAUACUCCUACGGGAGGCAGCAGUAAGGAAUCUUCCGCAAUGGGCGAAAGCCUGACGGAGCGACACCGCGUGGUGGAUGACGGCCUAUGGGUUGUAAACACCUUUUCUAUGGGAAGAAGAUCUGACGGUACCAUAGGAAUAAGCCCCGGCUAAUUACGUGCCAGCAGCCGCGGUAAUACGUAAGGGGCAAGCGUUACCCGGAAUUAUUGGGCGUAAAGCGUCCGCAGGCGGAAGUAUAAGUCAGUUAUUAAAUACCGGUGCUCAACAUCGGUGCUGUAACCGAAACUGUAUUUCUAGAGGAUGGGAGAGGUAUGUGGAAUUGUGCAAGUA